rnacentral:rRNA from 1 species
UACGUAGGGGGCAAGCGUUGUCCGGAUUUAUUGGGCGUAAAGAGCGUGUAGGCGGCCAGGGAGGUCCGUUGUGAAAACUCGAGGCUCAACCUCGAGACGCCGAUGGAAACCCCCUGGCUAGAGUCCGGAAGAGGAGAGUGGAAUUCCUGGUGUAGCGGUGAAAUGCGCAGAUAUCAGGAGGAACACCGGUGGUGUAGACGGCUAUCUGGACCGUAACUGACGCUGAGGCACGAAAGCGUGGGUAGCAAACAGG